rnacentral:tRNA from 7 species
GCGGCCUUGGCGGAAUAGGCAGACGCGCACGUUUGAGGGGCGUGUGGGAGACCGUACCGGUUCAAGUCCGGUAGGCCGCACCA